GGACAUAACUCUGGAAAGCUAAAAUAGAGCACCGACGGAGCAAAUCUCUCAGGUACCAAGACAGAGUAUAGGGC
rnacentral:ncRNA from 2 species